rnacentral:rRNA from 1 species
CAAUAGCGUAUAUUAAAGUUGUUGCAGUUAAAAAGCUCGUAGUUGGAUUUCUGUGAGAGUGCCGGUGUCGGCUGAUGCUUGUACGCAGGCGCUCUUACAUCCUUCUGUUAACUGUUCUUGGCAUUUUAUUGCUGGUUCAGUGCUCAGAUAUUUUACCUUGAGAAAAUUAGAGUGUUUCAGGCAGGCUUAUGCCGGAAUACAUUAGCAUGGAAUAAUGGAACAGGACCUGUGCGUCUCUCGGGGCGCCGGUCUCCGUUAUUGGUUUCGGGGACUAAUGUAAUGAUUAAUAGGGAUAGUUGGGGGCAUUAGUAUUUAAUAGUCAGAGGUGAAAUUCUCGGAUUUGUUAAAGACUAACUUAUGCGAAAGCAUUUGCCAAGGAUGUUUUCAUUAA